ACUAAGUCCUCUCCUGGAAAUAUCAAGAGCCCAACCAUGAAAGAGUUUCUCUUGAUUGUGAGCCUAUCAUUGGUUUUCCUAUCCGUAGAGAGUUAUCGUCAGAAAUACCAUGGAAAAUACUUCCAAUAUGGACCGUACGGAAGAAGUUCAUUGAGUGGAUUAAGAGGUGGUUUAUCUGGCGGUUUUGAUGACGGCUUUCGUACCACAUCAUUCUCCGGUUCCAGCCUAGACGACUUCGGUUCCCUGGGAUCACUUGGGUCAUUAUCAUCAGUAAGCAGGCGAAGUUUAUUGCCUGGGAGAUAUACCUACCAGAAGCACGGACAUUCUUCAACGUAUCCCAAAUAUUUCGAUCUCGGAAGAACUUUCAGAGGUUCCAGAAAUUUCGGCAGGGAUCUCUCUUUUUCUUCGGCAAGUGUUGGAUCGGGCUUAUCCGGACUUUCUGGACUUGAUGAUAACUUUGGCGAUGAUUUCUCUUCUAGAUCAAUUGCCCCAAUUUCAACUUCCUCAAGUGCCAUCUUGAGUGGUCCAUACCCGCGGGCCUUUCCGAAGCUUGGAGGUUAUACUAAAUCAUUAAAAACCUACCCAAGCAUUAGAAGUAUUGGUUUCUCUUCAAGAUCUGGAUUAGGCUUGUCCGGAGGUUCAGGACUUAAUGGUUUUGAUAGUAGCUUUGACGAUGAUUUCUCUUCUAUCGCCCCAUUUUCUGCUUCCUCUUCCUCAAGGGCCUACCAUAAGGGUCCAUACUCGCAUACUUUUCCAAAGCUUGAAGGUUAUACUAGAUCAUUGAGAACCUACCCAAGCAUUAGGAGUAAUAGUUUCUCUUCCAGAUCUGGAUUAGGCUUGUCCGGAGGUUCAGGACUUAAUGGUUUUGAUAUAGCUUUGACGAUGAUUUCUCUUCUAUCGCCCCAUUUUCCGCUUCCGCUGUCUCUGCCCCCUUGAGUGGUCUAUCCUCGAGGGCCUUUCCCAAGCUUGGAGGUUAUACAAGAUCAUUAGAAACCUACCCAAGCAUUAGAAGUGGUGGUUUCUCUUCUAGCUCCGGACUUAGUUUGUCUGGUCUUCGUGGUUUCGAAGAUGACGGUUUUUCCUCAAUUUCCUCAUUAUCCAGUCUUCCACAAAGGGGAUUCUCUGCUAGUUCUGGAUUAAGUUUGUCUGGGCUUCAAGGACUCGAUGAUGAUAGUUUUUCUUCAAAUUCCCCAGCGCCUAUUCUUCCACAAAAUUCCUAUCGGGCUGAUCCUUAUUCUGAUUUAUCUUAUCCAAAACCAUUGCCAGCUUUUAGAGGAGGUUUGACAGGACUACAAAGAAAUGAUCUGACACUCUCAUCAGGAUUAGAUGACGAUUUUAGUGCUCUUGGAGGAGGCACAAGGUCAAAUUUGAUCAGAUCGGGAAGUUUUGACGAUGAUGAUUUUGGUGGGUUGGAUAGUGGUUUUGGCUUGUCAGGAAGUAACAGCUUUUUGUCGUCUAGUCAACUAAAUUCGGGAGCACUCCUUAAACCAGAAACAUACUUAAAACCAGGACCCUAUCCUAAACUUCAUUCCAGAAGGGAUUACAUCUGAGGACUCAUUGGAAUACUAUAUGGUGGAAAGUGCGAUUUGCAACUAAUCAAAUAAAAUGAUUUCUU
rnacentral:misc_RNA from 1 species